UCCGAAUUUGGCACUAAAUCCACAGCUGAUGUAAAAUGACUUCAACUGAUUUCAGUGGAACUAUGCUGCUUUACACCAAAUCUCAGGUGGCAGAAGGAAGGGAUGCUGUUAAUUUCUGGAGGAUCCUGGAGAUAGAGAAGAGAGCUUGCAGAGAGGAAGCAGCUUAAGAGGAGGAAGCAGGAGGCACUACAAAAGUAAGGUCAUCAAGUGAGGAGGCAUAUCAAGAGGGCUUACAGAUGCUGGAGGUGGGCCAGAAGCUCCUGCCAACAUGAGACCAAUGACCAUCUGUACAGGAUAUUUUCAGUAUGUCGAUAUAGCUCAGAUACUUGGUCUGCUGCUUCUGGGUUCCAGUCCUGCAAAGAUUUGUACACCUGCUGAACUUUACACACUCGGAGUUGUCCCACUGAAGUCAGAGUUCGAUUGUAAAGAGCAGGCACAGAAAAGGAAGCAAUUUUUUGUUUUGUUUUUUGUUUCAUAUCACGCCCUUAGAGUGCCUCAGAACACUGGGGAAUCCUGAUUGAAUAUCCAUUAUUAGCAAAGAGUUAGUGUCCUUUUGCAGUAAUGUCCACCAUUCUGUGAUAUAUUAACUAACCCAAAGGAUGAAAAACUUAUUUAGAGAUCCCCUUCAUUUUUUGUUGUCACAUUUCCAAGUACUUAGCUAUGGGCAUGUACUGUGCAAAAUUUACUGAAUUUAAAUUGCCCUCUAUGCACAUCACACAAUGGCUUUUAUAUACAAAGUAUACUGUUUAGCAAGGGAGAAUUGUAAAGGACACAUUAUAAUUUAACAUUGGAUGCAUGAAUGUAGCCUAUGUUUUUCAGAGAACAAAGACUGACUUUUUGUAGACGUGUAUGUUUUAUUCAUCACUGAAUAACUGGGCUAUAAGUGUAUAAUCUGUAACAUUAUUGAUUUGCAAUAUGUGCAUUUUCACUUUAGUGUUUGGCCACAUUCAGUUUGCUUUCUACCAUUAUCUGUUGCUUACUUUAUCUAUAAUUAAAGUGAAUAACAUUUCUUUAAUGUA